rnacentral:lncRNA from 1 species
CUUUUCUCCCCGAAGAGGACCCUGGGAAGGUGGCUCCCGCCUCACUCCUAGAGUGAAAUCCUCGCAGCCCUGCCCUCGCGGGCGGAGCAGAGACGCCGCCGCUUGGCCGGUUCACGCCUGUCACACAAAGCCGCCGAGGGUCGGCUGCGCCCCUGGCAAGGCUGUAGGGCUGGGGAUACUGAGUAUGACAGGCGAGGUCCCUGCUCUCAAGAACUUACAUGGGAGAGAAGGGGAGACAAGAUAAACAGAUGGAGCAACUCAACCCAAAAAGGUUGGUCUGUAUGGUGACGGAAUGUGGUCUCCCAGUUUUCAGCACAGCACUCAUUCAGCUAUUCUGCUCUUCAGAAAGCAGGAGGGAUGUGCCCUAAGGUGGACUAUUGAAAUGAUGAAAGCCACUGAGGAAGAGCCAGAGAAUUCUCGUAGCUGUGAUUAGACAUCAACCUUGGGCAUGCUAAACAUUUCAGCCUGGACACCCUGAGAAGAGCCAGUGCCACUGGUGACAGCUGCUUCUGUGCGGGCUUUUGCUUGGCCAGAGAGGCAGGACCUUCUCCCUGGCAUUUUGAGGAGUGGUGCCGGGUGGGCAGUGACUGCACUAGCAACAGUCUAUACCAAGAGAAGACCUCAAAUUCCCAGAGAAGAAAGGCAGCGAGGCCAAGAAAUGCUGCCGCCGCUUAACAAGUGAAGAUGCAUACUGGAGAAUAGGAACUGAACACGCGAAGGAGUUUCGGCUUUACUGCCUUCUCUCCUAGCAUUGAACAGAUCUUCUCUGCUGUUGAUUAUUCUCCAUGAAUCAUCAUCCAUAGAAAGUGACUGAGGCAAUAGAGAGUGAAUAAUGAAUCUCUCAAAUAGUCUUUUGUGUUUCUGCCUGGAGGGUUUUGGAAAUAACUUGCAUCUUAAUCUUUCUGACUUAGAAUCAUAGAAUUUGGGAGCUGAAAAGGACCUUCAUCAGGGCAUGUGGCCUCACAGAAAGACUGGAAGAAAAGAUUUGUGGGUAUGAGCCUCUGGUUCAUCACUAAAAAUAGGCCUAGUCUAACAUAUAUUGGAGGCUUUCCUUGUGUCAGGUACUCAUUUAUUCUUCCAAAACCUUGGGAGGUAGGUGCUGCUAUUCCUCCAUUCUGCAGAGGAGGAAGAGAUGAGGAGACAGUAGAUCACCAGAGGGCAGUGUGAGGGGUGUGCUGGAACCAUCAUGUGGAACUGGCUCUGGUUCCAGAAUCCACAUCCUCUCGGUCAUUCCACUCCCACAUCAAGUGGCUUUGGACAAGUAAUUUAACUUCUUUGGAUCUCAGUUUUCUCCUCCGUGAUCUCUAAAGUUUAAAAAUUACUAACAGUCUGCAUCUGCCACCCAAGCAUGUGAUUUUACAAGUCAGAAAAGUGUAGCGCAGAAAUGUUAAGUGACCUGCCCUAGGUCACCCAGGUUGCUAAGGGCAGAAUCAGCACAGAAACCCAGGCCCAGUGACCACUGCCCCCAGGCAAGACCUCCUUCCCUUCCACUGCACUUUGGCAGGUGUUCUAGGGGAAUCCAACUCCUUGCCUUAGAGGAGACCUGUUCAAUGAUAUCAGAUAGACUGGAGAUGUUACGUUUUGGUGUGGCCAAUCACAACACCAGGAUGAGCUUAGGAGGCUGGUGAUAUUUGUCUAUCUAAGCACCCCCAACCUAUCUAUCUGUCUGCUGUUUGUCUAUCUUUCUCAGGUUAUGCAUAGUGACCAAACCCCGCCUGGUAACUGUAGGGAAAGAGCAUGACUGGUGUGUUACAGCUACACACGCCCCCUGGUGGUAUUUCCAGUUGUUUGUCCUCUUCAUGCAAAUGUUGCCACCUUGUGCCAGCUCUCUCACCUAGCUUCCUUCAUGACGACAGUGGUUGCAAUUCUGCUCCUCUCUCUGCCUUCCCCUGUCCUUGGCUCCCCAUGUCCAGAAUCUGAUCAUUUACUGGUGUGCACCCUGGGAUGUGAUGUGUGCUUUGGGAGGAGACAGGACCCAACAGUAUCUCAGCUGUGCUCUGGUAAUCAGUGUGCACCACAUUACAAGCAUCCUCAUCCCAGUAUCCUCCCUAUUGAAAAAGAAAUGGGAAAGGGGUGGAUGUGUCAAUAAACACAACAUUGAAGGCAUCUGAAAUAGAACAAGGACAUCCUGGGUGAGGCAUU